GUGAGAGCACAAAGCAGUAAAGUAGGCAGGCUCUGGUUAUGGGGGUAGAUGCUCGAGGAUUUCCAGGGGGACUCCUGAGGCUCCAUCCCGCCUUUGCAUAUGUCGAGCCUCCUUCCUCAUGACCUUUGCCAUGGGCGGAGUGCCUCCCGCCGGCUCCCCGCAGUCAAUGGAUUGAAUGAUGUCUACCUGUACUGGUGAGGGUAUUCUUCUGAGUCAAAUGCUGCUGUCUUCAAGAAACACUCAAAGACACACCAAGAAAUAGCAUUUUGCCAUCUGUCCAGGCAUCCCUUAGCCCAGGAAUGUGGAGAAAAGUGGGAAAGAGACAGGGAUGGAAGCUAGACC
ensembl:lncRNA